rnacentral:lncRNA from 1 species
ACUAAUUUUUUUAUUUUUUUUCUGGUUUCUUAUAGGAAUUCAAUCAGUUAAAAAUAUGCAUAAUUCACAACCUCAAUUAAAAGAUGGUCUGUGUGUCUCAGAGAAAUGACAUAGAGUCUUGCACUAAAUGUUACAUCAAGUAGAGCAGCAUGAAUAUCAUUCAGUGUAUUUUUAGAGGCACUCAGUGGAAAAGAAAGCAUUUUAAAGAACAUAAUCCAAGGACACAAACUGAAGUACUGCUGAAGGCAGACCCAGUUUGUGAGAUAAACAAUAAAUACACUAGGAAUCAUAUGGCUGCAACAGAUACAACUGAAAAAAAUGGAACCAGAACUCAUCUGGUUGAUCACCAUGAAGAAAAAUCAUCAGAUAAGACAGGAAUUCAGGAAGAUUGUUAGGAUCACAAUGGCUGUGGGAGAUAACUUGGAAUAAGCUUCAAUAUUUGCAAUAAUUUGCAAUAAUUUGUAAACAAAUAAUCUUUAAUUUACAGUUAUUUUUAGUAGACCACAGUUUUUAUUUUUUUUUAAAAUUACCUCAAGAUUUAAUUUCAUAAAGUUAAAUGUAAAGCUUGUUAUAUAGGAGUGGGGGGGAAAUAAAAAAAAAAGAAAAGGAGAAAAAAUUUAAAUA